UCGGGAAUUUUGGGCAAUGGGCGAAAGCCUGACCCAGCAACGCCGCGUGAAGGAUGAAGUAUUUCGGUAUGUAAACUUCGAAAGAAUAGGAAGAAUAAAUGACGGUACUAUUUAUAAGGUCCGGCUAACUACGUGCCAGCAGCCGCGGUAAUACGUAGGGACCAAGCGUUGUUCGGAUUUACUGGGCGUAAAGGGCGCGUAGGCGGCAAUUCAAGUCAUCUGUGAAAUCUCCGGGCUUAACUCGGAACGGUCAGAUGAUACUGCUUUGCUAGAGUGCGGAAGGGGCAAUCGGAAUUCUUGGUGUAGCGGUGAAAUGCGUAGAUAUCAAGAGGAACACCUGAGGUGAAGACGGGUUGCUGGGCUGACACUGACGCUGAGGCGCGAAAGCCAGGGGAGCAAACGGGAUUAGAUACCCAGGUAGUCCCUGAGCGGGCUGGCAAGGCGCAU
rnacentral:rRNA from 1 species